rnacentral:other from 1 species
GCGGGGCUGCCUGGUGCGUGCGAGACAGCAUUCCCCGGGCCCAUACGACUCCCUAGGGAGCUGUCCCUGUCCGGAUCCUUGGAACCGGACACACGGCGCCCACCUACUCUGUAGGUGUCCCGGGAUUCAAAACUCCACGGCCGAGGUGGCUCCGCA